rnacentral:lncRNA from 1 species
GCCAAGAGUCCUCUGGGAAACGAUACUUGGUCUGACCAUUUUAUAUUACUUGUGCCACUCGGUACACUUGCCGAUUUGCCCCAACAAUUUCUAUGACCAAUAUUUUUUUGGAUCUUACAUCCAAUGCUAGAAAAGUGGUGUCUAGAAAACUAGCACCCAAUGCCAAAAGCUAGUGCCCAAUUCCCUAACCAUUAGUGUUCACUAAUGAAUUUUUAAUGGUCGCUCAACA